GUACUCCGGGGAUAACAGGCUGAUACCGCCCAAGAGUUCAUAUCGACGGCGGUGUUUGGCACCUCGAUGUCGGCUCAUCACAUCCUGGGGCUGAAGUAGGUCCCAAGGGUAUGGCUGUUCGCCAUUUAAAGUGGUACGCGAGCUGGGUUUAGAACGUCGUGAGACAGUUCGGUCCCUAUCUGCCGUGGGCGCUGGAGAACUGAGGGGGGCUGCUCCUAGUACGAGAGGACCGGAGUGGACGCAUCACUGGUGUUCGGGUUGUCAUGCCAAUGGCACUGCCCGGUAGCUAAAUGCGGAAGAGAUAAGUGCUGAAAGCAUCUAAGCACGAAACUUGCCCCGAGAUGAGUUCUCCCUGACUCCUUGAGAGUCCUGAAGGAACGUUGAA
rnacentral:rRNA from 1 species